AUUUAAAUAAAAAAAGGUUAAAAAAUUGUUAAGGACGCUAUUGUAGAAUUGCCGGUUCUUGAGAUGUCUUUGUAAAUUUAUAUCAGAAAUUGUGAAACAANUUUGGUGGGGUUAGGUGGGAUUAGCUCAACCCAUCCAAAAUGGGCUAUCCCUAGUUAGGUGGGGUUAGCUAACCCUACUCAAUUUUGGAGGUGUUUGGGGAUAAUAUGAGGUUUAAGGGGUUAUUCAUCAUAGAUUUAGCAUUUCUGUUAAAUAUAAAAAUAUUUAAAUAUCGUUUUUUAACAACUUAAGUUUUUAGAAUACGACGAUUGUUUCACAUGGUAUCAGAGCAGAAUCCCACGUCAUAUGUCAACUAAAACGUCUCGAGUCCAGACGUGAGGGAGAGUGUUAAAAAAAAAUUUAAAUACCGUUCUCUAACAACAUAAAUUUUUAGAGUACAACGAUUGUUUCACAAUUUCUGAUAUAAAUUUACAAAGACAUCUCAAGAACCGGCAAUUCUACAAUAGCGUCCUUAACAAAUUCGAUAAAAUCUAUAUUUUUUUUACUAAAAAAUUACUUAAUUUCAACAAGUUAGAAGUUGAGACGAUUUAAAUAAAAAAAGGUUAAAAAAUUGUUAAGGACGCUAUUGUAGAAUUGCCGGUUCUUGAGAUGUCUUUGUAAAUUUAUAUCAGAAAUUGUGAAACAAUCGUUGUACUCUAAAAAUUUAAGUUGUUAGAGAACGGUAUUUAAAUUUUUUUUUAACACUCUCCCUCACGUCUGGACUCGAGACGUUUUAGUUGACAUAUGACGUGGGAUUCUGCUCUGAUACCAUGUGAAACAAUCGUCGUAUUCUAAAAACUUAAGUUGUUAAAAAACGAUAUUUAAAUAUUUUUAUAUUUAACAGAAAUGCUAAAUCUAUGAUGAAUAACCCCUUAAACCUCAUAUUAUCCCCAAACACCUCCAAAAUUGAGUAGGGUUAGCUAACCCCACCUAACUAGGGAUAGCCCAUUUUGGAUGGGUUGAGCUAAUCCCACCUAACCCCACCAAACCUCAACCAAACACUAUUUUUUAUUCAGAAUAACCCACUAUUCUUUUUUCUCCCACCUACUCCAACCAAACACUAUUUUUCAACCCCCACCAAAUACAAAAAUACUCUAAUUUUACUUUAACCCUGAACUUAAUCCUAUCUCUGAAAUAACUAAUUUUUUUUAACCCAUACCAAACGGUAGCUUGGAGUUUAAACAAGUUUAAAUAGAUUUUAGUAUUAAAAAAAUUAAUAUAACAAGUGAGAAAAAAAAAAAGUUUUUUGAUGAACUAAUUGUAAGAU
rnacentral:lncRNA from 1 species